rnacentral:tRNA from 1 species
GGGUUUGACAGAGGCAUGCCGGUCUUGAAAACCGACUAAGGCGGGUUCGAUACCGCCCAGACCCU